rnacentral:lncRNA from 1 species
AACUGAAUCUUGGUUUUGCUGAACCAGCCAAGAAGUAAGAGCAAUACCGUGUGACCGGUCAGCACAAUUAAACACCCCGCUCGGAGCUCAGGAUGGCUCCAAAACGAUCCGCAAAGUCAGCAGCAAUGGCAAGGAGCUAAUUGUCUGAGGAAACCAUGGUUGGCGCGUGACUACUGAAACAGAGACUUGGUAAAACAAUUACUGGCUGGAAAUUAUCAUGUUUUUAUCAGAGAACUUUUACACUGCUCCGGAGAACACAAGCCAAACAGCAAAACAUUGGGAUCUUUAAAGCACGCUGGGAAUAUUUGCACGCACUUCUGAUUUUUAUGGGCUCUUCAGUUAGUUAUCUGACGUCCUCCCUUGUCCCUUAGCCCUCCCUCACCCUGUCCAUCCAGGGACUAUUCCUGGUGUCCCUCCCCUCCUGGGGAUGGGGUUAGUGGCCCUGGGGCAGAGCUUGCCAGGGAUUGCCCUCAUUCAGCCGUGACUGUGGCCAGGUGUGGGGCACCAGCUGCAAGCCCUUGGCCCACUCAGACCUUAUUUAAGGCCCUGAGCCCUGGUGUGGGCUGUAGGAUGGUGCUGUGUAUGGCUUGAGGUGCUCAUGUUGGUCCAGAGGCCCAGCCGAAGCCAAGCCUGGCAGCAGCUGCUACGUAGACAGAAAGCACGCGGCGGAGCUGAUGCACGGUGCCUCCUGCUGAGGACGAGGCUAUUAAUGAACUGCGUAACCAGGCAGGUGAGCAAUAUAUUUAUUUAUUUUUC